CAUGCAAGUCGAACGAGGUCUUCGGACCUAGUGGCGCACGGGUGAGUAACAUGUGGGAAUCUACCUGAAGGUUCGGAAUAACUGCGGGAAACUGUAGCUAAUACCGGAUGUGUCUGCAAAGAGAAAGAUUUAUCGCCUUCAGAUGAGCCCGCACUAGACUAGCUAGUUGGUGAGGUAAUUGCUCCACCAAGGCUACGAUCUAUAGCUGAUUUGAGAGGAUGAUCAGCCACACUGGGACUGAGACACGGCCCAGACUCCUACGGGAGGCAGCAGUAGGGAAUAUUGGACAAUGGGGGAAACCCUGAUCCAGCAAUGCCGCGUGAGUGAAGAAGGCCUUCGGGUUGUAAAGCUCUUUCAUCAAUGAUGAUAAUGACAUUAGUUGAAGAAGAAGCCCCGGCUAACUUCGUGCCAGCAGCCGCGGUAAUACGAAGGGGGCUAGCGUUGUUCGGAAUCACUGGCGUAAAGCGUAUGUAGGCGGAUCAAAAAGUUAGAUGUGAAAUCCCUGGGCUCAACCCAGGAACUGCAUUUAAAACUAGUGAUCUAGAAUUUGGUAGGGGCCAGUAGAAUUUCCAGUGUAGAGGUGAAAUUCGUAGAUAUUGGAAAGAAUACCAGUGGCGAAGGCGACUGGCUGGGCCAUUUUUGACGCUGAGAUACGAAAGCGUGGGUAGCAAACAGGAUUAGAUACCCUGGUAGUCCACGCAGUAAACGAUGAGUGCUAGUCGCUGGGACAAUAGUUUCAGUGUCGAAGCUAACGCAUUAAGCACUCCGCCUGGGAAGUACGGUCGCAAGAUUAAAACUCAAAUAAAUUGACGGGGGCCCGCACAAGCGGUGGAGCAUGUGGUUUAAUUCGAAAGCACGCGAAGAACCUUACCAGACCUUGACAUGGUAUGUCUGAAUUACAGAAUCGUAAUUCUUCAGUUCGGCUGGCAUA
rnacentral:rRNA from 1 species